CUACACAGCGGCUGCAUAGCUUCCUCCACGUUCACUCAGCCUCCACAUGGACUCAAGGGCAGAAAGCAAAAGCACUCCCCUCCCCAAAUGCUGAUAAAUAUGGUCUAUCUGCGGUAUUAAUGAUUUUUUCAAUUCACAAAUCAGUUGUCUUUUCCGGGUACCAUUGGAGAAAUUUAACUAUGAAGCUCAUGAGGGAUGGCAAAGUCUGAGCACCCUGGAUGGCGCUGUGCACGCGGAGGGUGAAGUUGUGGUCCCUGCUUCUCAGCAUUCUGGUGAAUCGGUUAUGCAGUGCUUUUCUAGGAAGUGGCUCUGAAUCCGCAUGCACCUCUACACUUCUGUGAAAUGGUAGAGAUGCUUCACUUGUGAGAGGAAGACUGAGGUCUCCAGUUUAAAACCUUUAGUGAGUACUGGGAAUUGAACCCAGGGCUUUUACACUGAGCUACAUCACCAGCCCUUUGCAUCUUGAGACAGAAUCUUGUGAAGUCUCUAAUUGCCCAGGCUGGAUUUGAACUUGCAGUCCUCUUGCCUCAGCCUACAAUGCCAUGCAUGGUUUCAUAAGUGUUGUUAGAAAGCUACAUUCCCCAAAAAGCCUACGAUUUUUAUAACUCCUCCCCACCUUCUAGCAGACUUAAUACAAGUUUAUCCCAAUAUGUAUAAGUCUUGCAAACAGGACAUUCAACCAGUCUGUGCAUCAGUCACUCCCUGGAACACCCGGAGACCUGUCUUCCUCGCGCUCCAUGGCAGGUUCUGGGGAUGGGGCUGACAGUGGACACUCACUGGCACACCAGCCAGUGCCUACAUCACUGGAGUCCCACAUUGUGACUGUCGCCCUGGGCCAGGAGGCCGCUGUUACCCCAGGUGCAUGACCCUGGCAGACAGUGCUUCAACCCUGAGGCCCAGCUCCAGCCCUUCCUCCCCUGCUGCUUCUCCAGCCUUCCUGUUCCAUGGCCGGGCAGCUUGUCCUCUUCUCCACUGAGUCCAGUCUCUGCAUGAAGCAGAUCUUAAGCACAGCAUUUUCAUCUUUCUGUUCAUCACCCUGGAAUGGGUGCAGAUUCCCCAGUGCCUGAGCAAGAUGACUUCAGGGACUUUCUAGGCAAGACCGUGCCUUUUCCUUCUGAGAGAAAUAAAAUGAGCCGAAUCAUGAACACCCAAGGCAAGGCUUUUAUCAAAGGACAGAGCUAUCGGGCUGUCUGGAACAACGUCAAGAGCGGCAACCUGGGGCUGGCUGGGUGAGGUUUAUAAGGACUGGGGGUAGUGUGGUAGAGGCAGAUGAUUGGCUACGACUCGGGGUGAGGUGGGGAAAAAGCAGGUCUUUGUUCUCUCUGGAGUGACUCAUUUCCUGUAGGCAGGGCCAUUUUAGGAUGCAGGGUUGUUGGGACCAUUUUAUCUAGCAGAGAACUCUAUCACCUUCCACGGUUCCUCGUCCUCUAGCGUCCUGUGUUGGGUUUUCCCAGAAGACAACUUUAAGAGGAGGAUUUGAGUCCAAGGGAUUUAUUUUGGGGGUGAAGUGAGUGGUUUCCCCCAUGAGCACCUGCAUGACCACACAGCAUCUCUGAAUUACCCCAUGCAGGGAAGGUGAGCGAGCAUGGGGGUUCCCCUCCAUUCCCUGGGGUCAUCAGGUGGAGCUGCGGUGGCAUGGCCAGCUGCCAGGGCAUGCCUGUCAUGGUGAGCAGCAAAGCUGUCGUCUUGGUGACUUUGGAAGCCUCGGGAGGAAGCACUCAGGUCAGCAAUGGGCUUCCUAGGGUCCUUAUGCUUGGCUCACGACUUGCAGUUAGAGCCCCACAGGAGAUGCUGACAGCCCCUAGCCCCUCCUCCAGGCACAGGGGCGUCUGCAGAGGUCUUACUCACUGCUUCGCUCUUUACCAAUUCCAGAAUUACAGUUGAUUAUCCUCUGUUUGGUGAGCCUGCUCUCAUCUGAAAGACCAUGAACUAGGUGCUAUGGUGGCAAUCAGCCAAGGGUUCUUUUGCUCAAUUCAUAUGGAAAUUAUGACUUGGCAAAGUGCAGUUCUGCUGGCAGCCCUGAUUUCACCAGAUGCCAACAGGUGAUGCAGCCAGCUGCUGCCAGCUAUCACCUUCCAGCACCAGCUUAGGCUGGACACUGUAAAUGAGCUCUAAUGGGUGCUGGUCACUGCCACUGCCGGCCACCACCUGGUCUCUGCUGCUGGUCUCUGGAGCUCUUUGGUAUCAACAGCUCUUCGUGUUUCUUCUCUUUCUUUGGAAAUGACCGCUGUGUCUGUGCUACUCAGGGUACAAGUCCCAAGUGGAUUUACAGGACUUCUGGAGCCCACACUACCCAAGAAAUAAAUCGUGAACAGGUUUACAGGACCUCCAAGGUGAGUCAUUAUUUUAACAGGGCUUAUGCUUCAAAGUCAGGUGUGGAAGAUGUGAAAGGGCUGUUUGCGUGCUGGAAGCCAGCAGAUGAGCUCCAAGGUGAGGGUGGAGAAUGGAGCUGCCUUGAAGAAGUAAGGCUUCCUUCUUUGUUCCUUUCUUUACUCCGUUGUUGUUGUUCGGGACACAGCCUGUUGGUAGGGGCCACUCACACCCAAGGCGGGUCUUCUGUCUUCAGUAAAUCCUUUCAGCCACACCCAGAGCUACGCUAAUCAUUAGCGGUGCAUUUCUUACUCCAGUUGAAACAAGGGCUAUCGCACUCUCCUAGACCAAAACCCAAGAAGUCCCUGGGAAGUGCUACUUACAAAGCAGCUUGCAGGCCUGUGUCCGUGAGGGAGAAUGCUGGGUGUACAAAUAAGGGCCCCAGAUCCCUCUCUCUCUUCCUGAUCUUUGUCGCUCCAGGGUGCCCUCUCUUCAAAUCUGCAGCAGCGUGGGCUGAAGGGGGUGCCACAUUGCCUGUCUGGCUGCACUCCUGCUGGAGUGAAGAGCGCAGUUUGAUAGCGGGGAGGGGGACGCACUAGAUGGCCUGGGGGGACACUGAAGCAAACUGCCCCAGGCAGUUAGGGUGCAAGGAGGGGCAAAGGGAAGUGAGGGGGAGGGGCAGACAGCUGGUGGCCACCCAACCCCCCCAUCACAGGGCAAAAUGAGAGUAAGGUGCUUUGUGGCUGUCUGGCGGUGAAGAAACGAGCACACAACACUCCUGCCCUUGAGAGUCACGGACUCUGCUGGGGAAUGCCAGUAUGCGCCAUUAUUCUUUCUAG
ensembl:lncRNA